rnacentral:rRNA from 1 species
CUGAGGAGCGAAAGCGUGGGGAGCGAACAGGAUUAGAUACCCUGGUAGUCCACGCCGUAAACGUUGGGCGCUAGGUGUGGGGGCCAUUCCACGGUCUCCGUGCCGCAGCUAACGCAUUAAGCGCCCCGCCUGGGGAGUACGGCCGCAAGGCUAAAACUCAAAGGAAUUGACGGGGGCCCGCACAAGCGGCGGAGCAUGUUGCUUAAUUCGAUGCAACGCGAAGAACCUUACCUAGGCUUGACAUGCACGGAAAUCUCGCAGAGAUGCGGGGUGCCUUUGGCGUCGUGCACAGGUGGUGCAUGGUUGUCGUCAGCUCGUGUCGUGAGAUGUUGGGUUAAGUCCCGCAACGAGCGCAACCCUCGUUCUAUGUUGCCAGCGGUUCGGCCGGGGACUCAUAGGAGACUGCCGGGGUCAACUCGGAGGAAGGUGGGGACGACGUCAAAUCAUCAUGCCCCUUAUGUCUUGGGCUUCACGCAUGCUACAAUGGCCGGUACAAAGGGUUGCGAUACUGUGAGGUGGAGCUAAUCCCAAAAAGCCGGUCUCAGUUCGG